rnacentral:rRNA from 1 species
GAUGAACGCUGGCGGCGUGCCUAAUACAUGCAAGUCGAGCGAACAGACGAGGAGCUUGCUCCUCUGACGUUAGCGGCGGACGGGGGAGUAACACGUGGAUAACCUACCUAUAAGACUGGGAUAACUUCGGGAAACCGGAGCUAAUACCGGAUAAUAUAUUGAACCGCAUGGUUCAAUAGUGAAAGACGGUUUUGCUGUCACUUAUAGAUGGAUCCGCGCCGCAUUAGCUAGUUGGUAAGGUAACGGCUUACCAAGGCAACGAUGCGUAGCCGACCUGAGAGGGUGAUCGGCCACACUGGAACUGAGACACGGUCCAGACUCCUACGGGAGGCAGCAGUAGGGAAUCUUGCGCAAUGGGCGAAAGCCUGACGGAGCAACGCCGCGUGAGUGAUGAAGGUCUUCGGAUCGUAAAACUCUGUUAUUAGGGAAGAACAAAUGUGUAAGUAACUAUGCACGUCUUGACGGUACCUAAUCAGAAAGCCACGGCUAACUACGUG